rnacentral:lncRNA from 1 species
GUUAGUGUGCAGAACGUUCCCUCCUGUCCUGUCUUCUGCCCCUUCCUCCUCUCAAAGCUGAGUGGGAAGGGGCUUCACACAAAGAUCAGGAAAGCUUGACGUAUGGCUAGUGAACUUUAGGAGGGAGAGGUACUGGGAUGUGGCUCAACCAGAGAAAAUCCCAGGUCAAAUGAAGUCAGACAGCAAAGGUGAUUGAAUUUUCAAUCUUGAAAAUACAUCAUGGAACCUGAUUUUCCAAAGAAGUGAUUCAAACUGAACAGCAAGGAAGCUUAACUUAUUGCUGCCUGUCUCAGAACUCAAGCUCACACUUCUCUUUUCUUCAAAUACUCGCCUGUUUCUAACAAUCUGCCCACUGCUCUGGGUCCCGAUGCCUCGACGCUGCAUCUUGCUGCCCCGGUACUCUCUUUAACCUCAGGAGAAGAAUCCCCACCUCGUGUCACUAGAAUGUGGAACAGAGAAGAAGGAAGAGCUGACAUAGUACAGACCAAGAAGAUUUUAAAAACAAACAAACAAACAAACAAACAAAACCACAUCCAGUUCCAUCAGCCACACCUGGCAGUAAAGCCCUCAGUGGCCAACUCAGCAGUCCCACUUUGAUUCUUCUUAGACGGCAGCAUCUUCUUAGAUAAUGCUGUGCCUGAUGCACAGUAGAAGCUUAAUAAAUACUAUGACAAAUUAAUGUCUUUACUGAUUAUAUAUAGUUUUCUGGGUGAGAGCAAUGAAGAUAAUCCUAUGUCUUCCUUAAUCCAGGCAACAGACAGCUUUCUGUUUAAAAUUUGUGUUCUGGAUAAUCAGGGUAUACAGAAUGCUGAUGUAUUACCAUAGUAUCAAACUACAAUAAGGCAAUGUUAAUCUAGCAAUAUAUAUAAUGAGAAUAUUGGCUACAACAGAAAAACAGGGGCUUGUCUGGUCUGUAUCUCUCAAGUGUGAGGAAGCAGUUUAGUCAAACAAGUUGAAAAAUAAAACAAAAUUUAAAAAGGAUAAAAAAAAACCCUGGUUCUUUGUUUUCCAGGGGAGACCAUCUCUAUACUGAACUAAAUUUAACUUCCCUAUUGUGUAUGAUCGCCCUCCAAUAUGGGGCUACUCUGCCCAGAGGGACGACUUUGCCCGUGAUGAGGAUUAAUCCCACUCUUGACCCACACAGAUGGUUUUAGUGACUGUAUCUUUUGUGCAGCUCCAUUUCUUCUCAAAAUGUGCAGAUGAGAUGUUUCUUCCAGCCUCUGGAUAUUGAGGUGCCUGGGAUACCUGAGUGAGGGAAGAAAGGAGCACCAAGAAGUGGCAGCUGAAGCCAGAUUGCACAAGAGAGAAAGGAAGACCAUCCAAGGCAGACAGAAAAACUCAAGAGAGCAGCCGUCUGGGGCUAUUUAUCACAUGAACAAAGUCAGAAGCCUUUCAAUCUUCCUCCUGUAUUACAUCAGGGUUCAUUUUUAAAAGAUACGCAACUUGGUGAUCACAAGUUAUUAAAAAAAAGUAGAAGAGAUGGAAGUGUGGGUGUCAUGCGUUGUGAAAAAUUGUCCAUUUAAAAUGGAUACAAAAUGGAAGCCCAAUUUUAUUUAAUGACAGUAAACUUAUCUAGAAUGCUGCAUUCCCAUAGCCUAUCAGCUGAGAAUUAGUUGAUUGAACACCUUCUGCUUGUCUUUGUCAGGCCCAUAGCUACAUGAAGACUGGUCUCUGUCCUCAAGUUGCUUACAGUUUGCAGGUGCUACACCAAUGGGUAUCAUUUGUAUCUCACAUAGGGAACGUUUCACCCUGCAGGACAACGAGCCAGAGCCUUGCAUACCAGGGGCAGGCAUUAGACCACACCCGCUUUGACUGUUAGACUCAUCUGCAGUGCUUGUGCCACUAGUGAGAUGCGCCUAAUGGGGGAGUUCAUCCCCCACCUCACCCUGGUGAGGAGUAUGGAUCUCCAGGAACCAGAAGAGCUGCAUACAUAUAAACAAAGCUCCAAAUUUGGAAGCAGCAGUGAAACUCCACAGCAGUGAAAAGAAAGAAAAAAAGACUAAGCCAGGAAACCUCUUGAAGGCCCAGAGAAGUAGGCACGUAUAUAAGGUUGAAGUUUGAGUUAGAUAGUUGAUCAGAUUCAGGUUCUGAUCUUUGAGCCAGAACACUUCCAAGGUAGAAUUGUUUUUUUCCACUAAAAGCACAUCAUGUCUGCUUGUCUUUUUGUGAGAUGCCCAGACUGGAGCUGCCACAUAGGAGACACUUGGUGAGCUCUCAAGGAAGAUUGGAUGUCUAUGGAGAAUCCACGUACCUAUAUCAUAUUAGUUGGAGCAAAACACAGACUCUGGGAUGAAAGGCAAAAGUGUUAUAAUGAGGCCAAUGGAAUGUGCUGAAUCCGUUCCUCAAAGAAAAACAAAACCAAAUAUCUCUCCAAGUCUGGAUUAUACCAGAGUUUCCAAAUCAUAAACAACCAAUGAAAAAGGGAUCAUAUCAUUAUGCGUUUCUACAAGGCCUUACUGAGGUGUGAGCCUAGCACUGUCUUGUGGGCACAGCCUUGCACCUGUAUCUUCA